rnacentral:tRNA from 1 species
GGCUCUGUGGUGAAAUUCAUGGCGGGUUGCAAACUCGCAGAUGUACAUUGGCAAUGUGCCAGAGUCU